AAAUGGGUCGAGGCUUUUCCAUUAAAAAGUAAAUGUGCAGCUUAGGUAGCUCAACAGUUGUGCUUAAUGAUAUACUGUAUAGACAUAGCGGCCCAAAAAGAAUUUUGUCAGAUCAAGGAAGAGAAUUUGUGAACAAAGUAAGUGUUAAGUUUACUUUUCCAUAAGUAAAGGUCAACCAUUUGCCACAGUGUGCCAAGUGGCUGCCAAGCCAAAGAUUUUGCGUGAUUGUGUUUAAGAAACUAUUUUCUUUUAUUCUUUGAAGCUCAACUCUAGUCUUUGCAGCUUACUGAAAAUUAAUAGGAGUGUCACAGCAGCGUAUCACCCACAGGUAAAUGGCCUUGAUGAAAAGACAAAUGACAACAUAAAAAGAAAAUGAGUCAGCAGUCAACAGAAUGACUGGGACGUGUAUCUGGAUGCUACACUGUUUUCUUUGAGGUCUAAGGUCCACACUACAACCAAAUACACGCCAUUUCUUUUAAUGUAUGGGAGAGAAGCAACUUAUCCUUCUGAAGUUCCUGUUGAAGUGCCGGUUCUCAUCCACAUCACAUCUUAUGUCAUCUAGGGCAAUACACCUAGGAAAGAAUCUUCUGGCAUGCCUGAUCCAUCCCUGGCAAUCUUCUGCUGAUAUGUCCAGGCAUCCAGCAUUCAUUGCAUCCAAGAGGGACAUUUGAUCAUGUGGAUGAUGGUCGUAAACCUUCCACCGCCAUGAGGAAAAGAAUUCCUCUAUGGGGUUGAGGAAUGGAGAGUAAGGUGGGAGGAAAAGUGACUCCAUUCUGGGAUGGGCCGCAAACCAGUCGGUGACUGCACGGGAGUGGUGAAAUGCCACAUUGUCCCAUACAAUUAUAAAUGUUGGCUGAUUCCUUCUCUCCGCAUCCCUUUCCUCACCUAGCACAACCCAUCCAUAGAGAUCAUACAGGAACGCAAGGAGCCGUUCAGUGUUGUAUGGCCCAAUUAGUGGUCUGUGUAACAGCAGUCCAUCAGUGGAUAUUGCUGCGCACAUUGUGAUGUUGGCACCCCUCUGGCCCGGGACAUUCACUGUGGCUCUCUUCCCAAUCACAUUCCUCCCUCGUCGCCGUGUUUUGGCCAACUUGAAACCUGCCUCAUACACAAAGAUGAAAAUGUGGUGUGUUUGCCUGCCUUCAAUCUCCAUGACUCUCUAAAAUAAAUCCACAAGGCAACAGAAGCUGUUACAGUAGUAAAUUUGUAAAAAUUGUCUUUGUGUGUGUUUGGUUUUGUUCAAAAACAGUUCUGUAUUUUAUUGUUCCUCUCAAAAGGCACAGUGUACAACUGUUUCAUCCUGACCUGAUGAUAUUUCAGGACUCUAGAAAUUGUUGUUAUGCUUACACUGUGAAUAUUUGCAAAAGUAACGUUGUCUGCCAAGACUCUGUGUCUAAUCUCAGUGAGUUUUAUCCCAUUGUUUCUGAUGACCAUAUCAACAAUGGCAGUUUCCUGCACAUCCUUCCUCUCCCUCCUGUGUGAGGUAACCGUUGAGUCCUAAGCAGAAAUGCAAAAACAAUUACACAAAAGUUUAUUUACUUCUGAAAUGUGCAACUGAGUCAAAUGCCCUUGCAGAAUACAAGUUACCUGUUGGUUUGCUGGAAAACUCUAACAAUAGAUGCCACUGUAGAGCAUUGCAGAAUUGGCUGCACUCUCUGACCAGCCUCUCUCAUUGAGAGACCAUGAUUUACUACAUGAUCAAUUACAGUAGCUCUGAUCUCAUCUGAGACUACAGCUCUUGAUCUUCCUCUUAUUCUUCUUCCACCACGCAUACGUAUUCCUCGCCCUCUCCCAGCCACUCUUCUUCCUCUUUCAGCCACUUCUCUAUUUCUGGCUGGGUCCAUGUUUACAUCACAAUA